rnacentral:sRNA from 1 species
GUGACAGCCCUGGAAACUGAAGUCCUCUGUUUAUCUAGGGAAAAGCACAGCAGACCAGUAUAAAUAUUAGUUCCGAAUGCUGCCCCAUCAGUAUGCUUCAGUCUUCACAUGAAAGCGACCACCGUGAUUGGUCAGAGAUUAGUUCAGUCUCCAUUGCCAUUCAGUCAUUGGCUUCU